GUAGGUGGCAAGCGUUGUCCGGAAUUAUUGGGCGUAAAGCGCGCGCAGGCGGUCCUUUAAGUCUGAUGUGAAAGCCCACGGCUCAACCGUGGAGGGUCAUUGGAAACUGGGGGACUUGAGUACAGAAGAGGAAAGCGGAAUUCCAAGUGUAGCGGUGAAAUGCGUAGAGAUUUGGAGGAACACCAGUGGCGAAGGCGGCUUUCUGGUCUGUAACUGACGCUGAGGCGCGAAAGCGUGGGGAGCAAACAGGGAUUAGAUACCCUGGUAGUCCACGCCGUAAACGAUGAGUGCUAAGUGUUAGGGGGUUUCCCGCCCCUUAGUGCUGCAGCUAACGCAUUAAGCACUCGCCUGGGGAGUACGGCCGCAAGGCUG
rnacentral:rRNA from 1 species